GGCCGGUUAGCUCAGCUGGUUAGAGCGUGGUGCUAAUAACGCCAAGGUCGCGGGUUCGAUCCCCGUGUUGGCCA
rnacentral:tRNA from 2 species